GGACGAACGCUGGCGGCGUGCUUAACACAUGCAAGUCGAACGGGGAUUACUGAACGGAAGGCUUCGGCCGGAAGGUUGGUGAUUCGAGUGGCGGACGGGUGAGUAACGCGUGAACAAUCUGUCCCGGACAGGGGAAUAACACUUGGAAACAGGUGCUAAUACCGCAUAAGACCACGAUCCCGCAUGGGAAUGAGGUAAAAGGAGGAAUCCGGUUUGGGGUGAGUUCGCGUCCGAUUAGAUAGUUGGUGAGGUAACGGCCCACCAAGUCGACGAUCGGUAGCCGACCUGAGAGGGUGAUCGGCCACAUUGGAACUGAGAGACGGUCCAAACUCCUACGGGAGGCAGCAGUGGGGAAUAUUGGGCAAUGGGCGAAAGCCUGACCCAGCAACGCCGCGUGAGUGAAGAAGGCCUUCGGGUUGUAAAGCUCUGUUAUAGGGGACGAAGGAAGUGACGGUACCCUAUAAGGAAGCCCCGGCUAACUACGUGCCAGCAGCUGC
rnacentral:rRNA from 1 species